GACGAACGCUGGCGGCGUGCUUAACACAUGCAAGUCGAACGGAAAGGCCCUGCUUUUGUGGGGUGCUCGAGUGGCGAACGGGUGAGUAACACGUGAGUAACCUGCCCUUGACUUUGGGAUAACUUCAGGAAACUGGGGCUAAUACCGGAUAGGAGCUCCUGCUGCAUGGUGGGGGUUGGAAAGUUUCGGCGGUUGGGGAUGGACUCGCGGCUUAUCAGCUUGUUGGUGGGGUAGUGGCUUACCAAGGCUUUGACGGGUAGCCGGCCUGAGAGGGUGACCGGCCACCUUGGGACUGAGAUACGGCCCCGACUCCUACGGGAGGCAGCAGUGGGGAAUAUUGCACCAUGGGCGGAAGCCUGAUGCAGCAACGCCGCGUGCGGGAUGACGGCCUUCGGGUUGUAAACCGCUUUCGCCUGUGACGAAGCGUGAGUGACGGUAAUGGGAAAAGAAGCACCGGCUAACUACGUG
rnacentral:rRNA from 1 species